rnacentral:rRNA from 1 species
AUCAUAUUGUGAUAACCUGCAGUCGACGAUGAAGCCCAGCUUGCUGGGUGGAUUAGUGGCGAACGGGUGAGUAACACGUGAGUAACCUGCCCUUGACUCUGGGAUAAGCGCUGGAAACGGCGUCUAAUACCGGAUACGACCUGCCCCGGCAUCGGGUGCGGGUGGAAAGUUUUUCGGUCAAGGAUGGACUCGCGGCCUAUCAGCUAGUUGGUGAGGUAAUGGCUCACCAAGGCGACGACGGGUAGCCGGCCUGAGAGGGUGACCGGCCACACUGGGACUGAGACACGGCCCAGACUCCUACGGGAGGCAGCAGUGGGGAAUAUUGCACAAUGGGCGAAAGCCUGAUGCAGCAACGCCGCGUGGGGGAUGACGGCCUUCGGGUUGUAAACCUCUUUUAGUAGGGAAGAAGGGCUUCGGCUUGACGGUACCUGCAGAAAAAGCACCGGCUAACUACGUGCCAGCAGCGCGUAUACGUAGGUGCAAGCGUUGUCCGUAUUAUUGGGCGUAAGAGCUCGUAGGCGGUUUGUCGCGUCUGCUGUGAAACCCGAGGCUCAACCUCGGCCUGCAGUGGUACGGCAGACUAGAGUGCGGUAGGGGAGAAUGGAAUUCCUGGUGUAGCGGUGGAAUGCGCAGAUAUCAGGAGGAACACCGAUGGCGAAGGCAGUUCUCUGGGCCGUUACUGACGCUGAGGAGCGAAAGCGUGGGGAGCGAACAGGAUUAGAUACCCUGGUAGUCCACGCCGUAAACGUUGGGAACUAGAUGUGGGGACCUUUCCACGGUCUCCGUGUCGCAGCUAACGCAUUAAGUUCCCCGCCUGGGGAGUACGGCCGCAAGGCUAAAACUCAAAGGAAUUGACGGGGGCCCGCACAAGCGGCGGAGCAUGCGGAUUAAUUCGAUGCAACGCGAAGAACCUUACCAAGGCUUGACAUAUACCGGAAACUUCCAGAAAUGGUUGCCCCGCAAGGUCGGUAUACAGGUGGUGCAUGGUUGUCGUCAGCUCGUGUCGUGAGAUGUUGGGUUAAGUCCCGCAACGAGCGCAACCCUCGUUCUAUGUUGCCAGCACGUCAUGGUGGGAACUCAUAGGAGACUGCCGGGGUCAACUCGGAGGAAGGUGGGGAUGACGUCAAAUCAUCAUGCCCCUUAUGUCUUGGGCUUCACGCAUGCUACAAUGGCCGGUACAAAGGGCUGCGAUACCGUAAGGUGGAGCGAAUCCCAAAAAGCCGGUCUCAGUUCGGAUUGAGGUCUGCAACUCGACCUCAUGAAGUCGGAGUCGCUAGUAAUCGCAGAUCAGCAACGUUGCGGUGAAUACGUUCCCGGGCCUUGUACACACCGCCCGUCAAGUCAUGAAAGUCGGUAACACCCGAAGCCAGUGGCCUAACCGCAAGGAGGAGCGUGCCCUUAAAGC